rnacentral:rRNA from 1 species
GUGGGGAAUAUUGGGCAAUGGGCGAAAGCCUGACCCAGCAACGCCGCGUGAAGGAAGAAGGUCUUCGGAUCGUAAACUUCUAUCCUUGGUGAAGAUAAUGACGGUAGCCGAGAAGGAAGCCCCGGCUAACUACGUGCCAGCAGCCGCGGUAAUACGUAGGGGGCAAGCGUUGUCCGGAAUGAUUGGGCGUAAAGGGCGCGUAGGCGGCCCGGUAAGUCUGAAGUGAAAGUCCUGCUUUUAAGGUGGGAAUUGCUUUGGAUACUGUCGGGCUUGAGUGCAGGAGAGGUAAGCGGAAUUCCCGGUGUAGCGGUGAAAUGCGUAGAGAUCGGGAGGAACACCAGUGGCGAAGGCGGCUUACUGGACUGUAACUGACGCUGAGGCGCGAAAGUGUGGGGAGCAAACAGGAUUAGAUACCCUUGUAGUCC